GUGUAAUCACUUGAUCCCUGGCCUUACUCACCAGCCAGGCUGUGAUGGUCUGCAGGGUCAAGAAGACGACAGGACACCCAAUCGCUCACAGAAGCCCCAAAACAAAUGAGAAAUGACACGUUUCUGAAGAAUUUGUGCUUUCUUUUCCUUCUUUUUUUACAUACAUUACAAGGAAACAAACAAGGGGACGAGAGGAAGACAUUAAAAAGUUAGUGCUGGCCAUUAUGAAAAAGACCAGAGGCUGUGCAGAUAUACUUUCAGGCAUCUUACGGUUUAUUCAACGGGAAAGUGGUGAAAGAUAAAGUGGUUUUGUUGUAAGAGCAGAAAGUGCGUCUUGAGCCCACGGCGCCACAAUACCUGUGUUCUCCCAGAAGCAUCAGCUUUGGACUACUGGACCAGCCUAGGAGAAACACGAGUCCCUACCAGGCACAGAUCUCAUAUGAACCGGAAUCCCAACGAUGAAAUGCAGUGUCAAAGGUGCCAUUGAGGUACCGCGUUUGGUUGCCGAUGCCGACCGGAAGUCAGUACAUAGUAAAUGUGUUAAUGCAGGUGUCCGAGUGCCGGGGGCAGACAGACCCACCCACCCCCC
ensembl:lncRNA